CAUAUGCUGAAACACUGGUUCCUAGCAUGAUCACCAAAGUUAAGCAACAUUAAACCUGGUCAGUACUUAGAAGGGUGACCACUCAGGAAUACUAAGUGCUGUAAG